rnacentral:tRNA from 1 species
GUACCUGUAGCUCAGCUGGAUAGAGCAUUCCCCUUCUAAGGGAACGGCCGGGGGUUCGAAUCCCUCCAGGUACG